rnacentral:rRNA from 1 species
AACGAACGCUGGCGGCAGGCUUAACACAUGCAAGUCGAACGCGUGUAGCAAUACACGAGUGGCGCACGGGUGCGUAACGCGUGGGAACCUUCCUCGUAGUUCGGAAUAACCCAGGGAAACUUGGGCUAAUACCGGAUACCUCCUUCGGGAGAAAGAUUUAUCGCUAUGAGAUGGGCCCGCGUCAGAUUAGGUAGUUGGUAGGGUAACGGCCUACCAAGCCGACGAUCUGUAGCUGGUCUGAGAGGAUGAUCAGCCACACUGGGACUGAGACACGGCCCAGACUCCUACGGGAGGCAGCAGUGGGGAAUAUUGGACAAUGGGGGCAACCCUGAUCCAGCCAUGCCGCGUGAGUGAUGAAGGCCUUCGGGUUGUAAAGCUCUUUCAGAUGCGAAGAUAAUGACGGUAACAUCAGAAGAAGCCCCGGCUAAAUUCGUGCCAGCAGCCGCAGUAA